CCAAGGAGCCAGCUUACGAGACUCCACCCGCAGAGGAAGGUCUUGAGCUGACAGCAAAACCCUCUGUCCAGCACUGUAAGCUGCAGCUGGGGUCACACAGCGGUCAGCUCGCCUCUUGUUACGUAUGCUCAGCUGCUCAGAGCAGACCUUUUCUUCAAUGUUCCACGUGACUGCCCCCACCACUCGAGAAGGGGACAGAAUGUGGAAUGGAGAGUCACUAGAGGGGUCCACUUCAAACUGACGGGACAUAGCAUCUGGUUUAACAACACACCCAGCACGAUAUGACAGAGCGAAGUUAAACAGAGCCCAGCUGGCUUGUCGGGAAUUCAGUCUCUUGGCUGUCCGAAUGUAUUCCAGGUUCCUGUGGUCAGUCCAUACCAGAAAAGGCUGCUCCGCCCCAUCUAACCAGCGUCUCCACUCAAACGCCAAGUUGACUGAUUACCCAUGUUGUAAUUCCGCUCCACCUGGGAUAUUUUCGAGGACAAAACAGGACACGGAUGGAGCUUGUUGUCUUUGGGUAACCGCUGAGACAGGACGGCCCCCACCCCUACAUCAGAGGCUAAGCUCAGCUUGAGGAGACCACUGGAACUAUACAUUGGAAGAGGCAAGUGCAUGUAACUUGCAUGCAACUUGUACUUUAUUGAACUACUUCCAUUUCCUGCUGCUGUACUUUACAUAGUAUAGUAUUGUACGUGUCACAGUUCAGAUUCAGAUCUUAAACAUUAAACAUUGAUGAGUUAAGAAUUUAUGACACAUCAUCCUCAACCUUUUGUCUUGUCAACCUGUGCAGGUGCAGCAGAGACGUCGCUGCUCUAAACUCCUGUUUAGUCCUGAGUUAAUUAAUUAGUCUGGGUGACUCCAUCCUUUUUAUCCACCAGUUAUCUUUUAUUCUCAUUUACAUUUUUCUCAAAGCCAAGUGAAUAGACUGGAGCUGACUUUAACAACUGCUCCAUGAAAAACCAAUGACGUGAUGACAUCAACACAUGGUUCUGUUCCAGGGACUCUGACUAUAGACCGAUUGUACAGAGAACAGAGUGGUGUAUAUAUAAAACCCAGUGGACACGUUGAGGAGGUGUUUUGAAUUUACAAACUGGGACUUAUAACAGGUACUGUCUCAUCCUAUGUAUCCUAUGUAUAGAAAACGUCAUUCUCACCAAACAAUAAACAGGGGUCACAGAACACCUGAUUGUUCUUCACUGGAUCCACGUUAGAGAAAAAACACCUGAGGAGGGAGAUGAAGAUGUAUCCUGCAGGUCACCUGGCAGGGGAUCAGGACCAUGGCAGCAGCUAACUUCCUGACAGACCUCAGAUCUGUCUGCGCUGCUUGGAAGACUGAGGAAGACCUCCCUGAUCUAAACCAGUGGCUCUGAAACUUUUUCACUGGAGCUGGAACAAAGCGGUCCUCUAUAUGACCCAUGGGCGCUGCGGUGAGGACUAAACCCAUGUGGUAUGCGGCCUACCAGGAACCCCCUCAAGGACCCCUGGGGGCCCCCGGAUGAACCACUGAUCUAAACUCCUUCUACACAAGGUUCGACAAAGAUCAUCAAUCACAAACGGCAGACGCCAUCAGCAGAUAGAUACUGCUGCAGGAAACACAAUCAUCCCCUCCCUCAGAAGAGCAGCCCCCAGGUCCUGAAGGACCAGACCUCAGUCCUCAGACCUCAGUCCUCAGACCUCUCUCAUCAUGAAGACCUCUGAGAGGAUGGAGCCACAUCACCAACGCCACAGCUGCAUGGACCCUCUUUAGUUUGUGUAUCCCACGAGAGGUGUUGAUGAUAUCACACUUUGCGUACUGAACACUGCCCAUGAACACCUUGAGGGCCCGAACACAUGACCCCGGCUCCUGUUCAUGGUUUCCUCAUCUGACUUCAACACCCUCAGAGUAUCGGCUUAAAACUUUUGAAGUGCUUCAACGUUCACAAGUUAAUCCUGUUAAUGAUGGAGGUCCUCGCCCUGAGAACACAGACGGUGCUGAUCAGGAAGAGAACGAUCCUGUGCCGCUCUCUCUACUCUCAGAUGGCUCUUGCUCAGAGCUGAAUCUGACUAAGACCAAGGGGAUGUUUGUGGAGUGGGAAUGACUGUGACCAUAAUUCAUGGGGAACCAGCGGAAAUACCUGGGCACCUAUUGUCACGACUGAGCAAGGACGUGAACCAGUCACUGUCACUGGAGACAAACUGCACAGAGGUGAUGAUCAGAUGAUCAGAAGGAACCAACAGCAUCAGUGUUUCCUGAUGAGACUGAACUCAACACCAUUUACAUCUCUUCCAUAAGCUUCUCACGGCCUUGCUGCUCUGUUAUGUAAGAUAAGGUUUUGAGAUGUGACUGUACUGAUCCCAGAGGAAAAGAAAGUGUCACAGCAGCUCAGGAGACAGACCAAGUGUGUGUCGGUGUGUGAAUGUGUGUGUGUGUGUGUGUGUGUUACUACUUUCCCUGCUUCCUUCCUGGCUUUGAAAAUAGAUCCAAGUAAAGAGAA